UGGAGGUCGCACGUCUUGCUGU
rnacentral:miRNA from 1 species